rnacentral:rRNA from 1 species
GACGUAGGGGACGAGCGUUGUCCGGAUUCAUUGGGCGUAAAGCGCGCGUAGGCGGUUCGGUAAGUCGGGUGUGAAAACACGAGGCUCAACCUCGUGCGUGCAUCCGAUACUGCCGGACUAGAGGUAGGUAGGGGAGAUCGGAAUUCCUGGUGUAGCGGUGAAAUGCGCAGAUAUCAGGAGGAACACCGGUGGCGAAGGCGGAUCUCUGGGCCUUACCUGACGCUCAUGCGCGAAAGCUAGGGGAGCAAACGGG